AAUCUUAGGCGAACAAGGAUAGAGAACGGGCUUGCCCGCUCUCCUGCGUCCCAAUGUGCCAAGAGGGAAAACAACCCUCAAGGCACUAAAGUAUAUCAAAGUUUAAAAUUUCUGGAGAUAAAUCCUUUGCAGACGACUUAAAUAAAGAACGGGGUAUUGUACGUUGUAGAGUAGCCUUGUUGCUACGAUCUUCUGAGAUUAAGCCUUUGUUCUACGAUUCGU
rnacentral:ncRNA from 1 species